UCUUACUGCUGAUAGGCAAGUAGAAAUAUUGCAGCCAAGCACAUUCCUGCACAGGCCAUAGAAUAAAGCUAUUCGCACUUAAAGUGGCUCUGUCAUGGCAUAGUUACCCUUCCUCGAUCAAUUCUUCUUUUCUUCCCUGUUUUCCAAUAUGUUCUUUUCUAUUAUUUUCUCUUCUUUUCUUAAAUACAUAAGCCAGGUAUUAUUUCUCUGCUUG